UUUAUUACGUCUACCUCGCCAUGCUAUUUAUCUCGCGGCCGCAUGUAUAACUGACCGUGCAAAGGUAGCAUAAUAAUUUGUCUUUUAAUUGAAGGCUUGUAUGAAUGGUUGGACGAGAAAAUUUCUUUCUUUAUUUUAUAAAUAUGAAUUUUAUUUUUUAGUUAAAAAGCUGAAAUAUUAUUGUAGGACGAGAAGACCCUAUAGAACUUUAUAGUUUUUUUUAUAUUAAUAUUUUUGGUUAAUAGUUUAUUAUAUAUUGAUAAUUAUUUUGUUGGGGCGACAAGAAAAUUUAUUUAACUUUUUUUAUUCAAUUUCAUUAAUUAAUGUUUAAAUGAUCCUUUAUUAAGGAUAAUUAGAAUAAGUUACCUUAGGGAUAACAGCGUAAUUUUUUUGGAGAGUUCUUAUCGAUAAAAAAGUUUGCGA
rnacentral:rRNA from 1 species